UGUGAAAUCCCCGGGCUCAACCUGGGAACUGCAUCCGAAACUGGCAGGCUAGCUUGUAGGGGGGGUAGAAUUCCAGGUUAGCGGUGAAAUGCGUAAUCUGGAGGCCGGUGGCGAAGGCGGCCCCCUGGACAAAGACUGACGCUCAGGUGCGAAAGCGUGGCAAACAGGAUUAGAUCCUGGUAGUCCACGCCGUAACGAUGUCGACUUGGAGGUUGCCCUUGAGGCGUGGCUUCCGGAGCUACGCGUUAAGUCGACCGCCUGGGGAGUACGGCCGCAAGGAAAACUCAAAUGAAUUGAGGGGGCCCGCACAAGCGGUGGAGCAUGUGGUUUAAUUCGUGCAACGCGAGAACCUUACCUACUCUUGAAUCCAGAGAACUUAGCAGAGAUGCUUUGGUGCCUUCGGGAACUCUGAGCAGGUGCUGCAUGGCUGUCGUCAGCUCGUGAAAUGUUGGGUUAAUCCCGCAACGAGCGCAACCUUAUCCUUUGUUGCCAGCGAUCGGCCGGGACUCAAAGGGACUGCCAGUGAUAAACUGAGGAAGGUGGAUGACGUCAAGUCAUCAGGCCCUUACAGUAGGGCACACACGUGCUACAAUGGCAUAUACAAAGAAAGCGACCCGCGAGAGCAAG
rnacentral:rRNA from 1 species